rnacentral:rRNA from 1 species
AAUGAACGUUGGCGGCGUGGAUUAGGCAUGCGAGUCGAGCGAGAACCGUAGCAAUACGGGGACAGCGGCGAAAGGGAGAGGAACACGUGGGUACCUACCCUCAAACUCAGGAUAGCCAUGGGAAACUAUGGUAAUACUGAAUAACGUCUUCGGACCAAAGGUGUGAUUCCGUCUGAGGAGGGGCCCGCGUCCUAGUAGCUAGUUGGUGAGGUAACGGCUCACAAAGGCGAAGAUGGGUACGGGAUGUGAGAGCAUAAUCCCGCUCAUUGGGACUGAGACACUGCCCAGACACCUACGGGUGGCUGUAGUCGAGAAUCUUCGGCAAUGGGGGAAACCCUGACCGAGCGACGCCGCGUGCGAGAUGAAGGCCUUCGGGUUGUAAAUCGCUGUCAGUGGGGAGGAAAUGCUGGUGGGUUCUCCCGCCAGUUUGACCUAUCCGCAGAGGAAGGACGGGCUAAGUUCGUGCCAGCAGCCGCGGUAACAC